ensembl:miRNA
CUAUUAGGUUGGUGCAAAAGUAAUUGCGGUUAUUGCCAUUUAAAGUGAUGGCAAAACCACGAUUACUUUUG